GUGGGGAAUAUUGCACAAUGGGCGCAAGCCUGAUGCAGCCAUGCCGCGUGUGUGAAGAAGGCCUUCGGGUUGUAAAGCACUUUCAGCGGGGAGGAAGGCGAUAAGGUUAAUAACCUUGUCGAUUGACGUUACCCGCAGAAGAAGCACCGGCUAACUCCGUGCCAGCAGCCGCGGUAAUACGGAGGGUGCAAGCGUUAAUCGGAAUUACUGGGCGUAAAGCGCACGCAGGCGGUCUGUCAAGUCGGAUGUGAAAUCCCCGGGCUCAACCUGGGAACUGCAUUCGAAACUGGCAGGCUAGAGUCUUGUAGAGGGGGGUAGAAUUCCAGGUGUAGCGGUGAAAUGCGUAGAGAUCUGGAGGAAUACCGGUGGCGAAGGCGGCCCCCUGGACAAAGACUGACGCUCAGGUGCGAAAGCGUGGGGAGCAAACAGGAUUAGAUACCCCUGUAGUCC
rnacentral:rRNA from 1 species